ensembl:lncRNA
CAGUGAGCAGUUGGUUUUAGAAUGCUCAGGGCUUGGUCAAAAUAGGGGGCAGGGCCCCUGUCCCCUGUAUAAGGGCACCUGGCUAGGGGCACAGAUGGGCUGGGUGGGAAAUGAAGGGAGGUUGGGGGUAGAGAGGAUUGAAAGCCCUGCUACUGCCAUUACCUGUUAUAGAGCGACACCCUGGUGAUAUGCUGGGGUGCUUACAGAAGUACGCGUCCCUGUUGAAUCCUUUGUGGUUCUGCAGCUAACAAAUCAACUGAUGGAUGGGGAAUCAGGGAAUCUCAAACAGUAUGAUACUACCACUGGUGCACCAGUGUGGUAGUGAUCAGUGCCUGCUGUUCUUCAGCUCUUAGCAACCCCCCAUCAGAAAGGUCUUUUGAGAGGAUGGGCGAGGUAGGCAGUUGCCUGAUGUUCUCCAUCUCCAAGGCUCCUAUAUAAAAAACCUAUUGGUAUUCUUUGAGUCCUUGAAGUACCCUUUCCUGAGGUAAUCUACACCAAGGAUGUGCAGAGCCUCUGGACCAGUCGCAAUGGGAUGCUUUUGCUACUCAUUCUCAGUCAGGCUCAAUUCAGACUCCACUAAAAUUAGCUCCUGGGAUCCCCCUGUCACUCCGGAGGUACAGACAGGUUCUGACCCUUCAUAACUUUAUGGCACUAGGCUCUUAUACUCCCGUGGUUCUGAUGUGCCAAGCCAUUGAAUCCGCACAGCCCAAUAAACCCGAUUGUCCCUUUCCUCCACCUGACUGGAGGCAGGGCCCUUCUAGUUCUGGUUAUUCUAUUCAUCAGUCAUGAAUGCAAACCACAAGGCUGGUUAUCAAACUCAGAAAUAAGGUCAGACCACCUACUCUGUUUGAAGAACUGCCCACUGGAGACUGGAGUGGUCAUUUUCCAGGAAGAACUCUCUUUUGUGAUGGCUUUCCCUCGCAACUCACAUAUCCAUACCUCUAGGCUUCAAGUGAGUUUUCCAUCCCAUUUCCUCAUAUCCUCUCCAUGGCCAUGCAGGUAAGACCACCGGUUAGCACGUGGUGUAUACCCAAUAUAUCUUCUGUCUUGAAUUAAAAAAUGCUUACUUCUGGUAUCUGAGAUGCUAGUCCAUGCAGAUAGGACAGAAGAUUUAUUCCCUUUGAGUUGUUGGGCCACUUCGGAAUGCUUCUCCACAGCUGAAACACAGGCCCUUAGAGAGAAGGAGAGAGAUAUUUUGCUGGAGUUCAUCAGUGAAUUUAUCCACCAUUUGUUCCUCUCCCUCUUUCCAGGUCAUUUCUGGCAGUGAGUUGGCAUACAGAGAUGGUGAACUCCGUACAAACUUACGCCACAUGGAUUGUGGAAUAACACAUCUCAAUUUUGGAAUAAUCAGAAGUUCAGGCCAAUAUUAUGCACCAUCUCCAGCACAGCCAAUUCCCUCAGAUACUGGAUACCUCUUUCCAUGGUGGUCCACUUGCCUGGUUGACAUAAUAUUGUCCCUGUAGGGAUACACUUCCUUCACAGCUGACAGGAAUUGUAUCUAAAAGGGGAGAGAUUUUUUCAUUUUUUGUAAUUGCUUUGUCAAUGUCCCCAUCCCUAGAGAGGAACUGCAGCAACCUGGCUCCCAUGCUCACUGAAUCCAGACUAUCAACACCACAUCCCAGCAUUGAAGCAGCUGGGUGACAGCGUGCUCACCUGGAUGAUCGCUGAAAUCUUUCCACAUAUCUUGCACAGGUAUCAGGCAUCAGGAAGAUGCUUGUGAAGAUUUACUUUCUUGCAUAACGCUGUAUGAAUGGUAGGAAGGAAUAAGAGAUUCUUCAUCGUUUUCUUUUUAAGUUCACGUAGACUGAGAAUGUCAUUCAUAAGCUUCAGUGCUUUAAUUUAAAGUCAUAUCUAUAAAUGACUGUCUUCUUUUAUGCACCAUGUGAUGCGAGUUUCUGUUCAGGUAUAGAGUAGGCAGCAGUUGGUUGAUAUGUGCAGUGCUGACAGGUGACCACCAUUUGCUUUGGUUUGAGAUCUUGGCCAGGGUGUGUUUCUGUCUAGUUUCAGAAACGGCCAGCCUGUUCUGAGGGAGGUUCCAGGGAACUACAGUCAAGGCAGUUUCACCUCAAACCCUGUGAAUGAUCUGCAGACAUGUGAAGGAAAAGAAAGUGAUG